rnacentral:rRNA from 1 species
CCUACGGGAGGCAGCAGUGAGGAAUAUUGGUCAAUGGACGAGAGUCUGAACCAGCCAAGCAGCGUGAAGGAUGACUGCCCUAUGGGUUGUAACCUUUUUUUAUAAAGGAAUAAAACGAGUCACGUGUGCCUUUUUGCAUGUACUUUAUGAAUAAGGAUCGGCUAACUCCGUGCCAGCAGCCGCGGUAAUACGGAGGAUCCGAGCGUUAACCGGAUUUAUUGGGUUUAAAGGGAGCGUAGAUGGGUUGUUAAGUCAGUUGUGAAAGUUUGCGGCUCAACCGUAAAAUUGCAAUGGAUACUGGCAGUCUUGAGUACAGUUGAGGUAGGCGGAAUUCGUGGUGUAGCGGUGAAAUGCUUAGAUAUCACGAAGAACCCCGAUUGCGAAGGCAGCUUACUAAACUGUGACUGACAUUGAUGCUCGAAAGUGUGGGUAUCAAACAGGAUUAGAUACCCGAGUAGUC